rnacentral:tRNA from 1 species
GGAGUUAUGCCUNAAUAAAGGAUUACUUUGAUAGAGUAAAAAAUAAGGGUUAAAACCCCUUUAACUCCU